UACAGAGGGUGCAAGCGUUGUUCGGAAUUACUGGGCGUAAAGCGCGUGUAGGCGGCGAGCGUUAGUCGGAUGUGAAAUCCCUCAGCUCAACUGAGGAAGUGCAUUCGAUACUGCGUCGCUUGAAUGUCGGAGGGGAUGGCGGAAUUCCCGGUGUAGAGGUGAAAUCCGUAGAUAUCGGGAGGAACACCUGUGGCGAAGGCGGCCAUCUGGACGACGAUUGACGCUGAGACGCGAAAGCGUGGGUAGCAAACAGG
rnacentral:rRNA from 1 species